GAGGUAGUUAGUCUCCUUUCCACGAGAAUCUUGGAGUGGUUAAUCUUUAAGCUUCUAAACAAACUUUGCGAGCUUUUAAUACCGGGUUAAGCUCACGAACCUUAAACCUUGGUUUUACCACAGACUAACCAAGAACCUGAGAGAUUUUAAUAUUAGACUAAUCUCAGAAUUAUACCUUCGUUUUAUCAUGGGUUAACCAAUAACCUAAACAAGAUU
rnacentral:lncRNA from 1 species